rnacentral:rRNA from 1 species
GAUGAACGCUGGCGGCGUGCUUAACACAUGCAAGUCGAACGGAAAGGCUCCUGCUUGCAGGGGUACUCGAGUGGCGAACGGGUGAGUAACACGUGGGUGAUCUGCCCUGCACUUCGGGAUAAGCCUGGGAAACUGGGUCUAAUACCGGAUAGGACCACAUUUUGGAUGGUGUGGUGGAAAGUUUUUCGGUGUGGGAUGAGCUCGCGGCCUAUCAGCUUGUUGGUGGGGUAAUGGCCUACCAAGGCGUCGACGGGUAGCCGGCCUGAGAGGGUGUACGGCCACAUUGGGACUGAGAUACGGCCCAGACUCCUACGGGAGGCAGCAGUGGGGAAUAAUGCACAAUGGGCGCAAGCCUGAUGCAGCGACGCCGCGUGGGGGAUGACGGCCUUCGGGUUGUAAACUCCUUUCGCUAGGGACGAAGCGCAAGUGACGGUACCUGGAGAAGAAGCACCGGCUAACUACGUG